rnacentral:rRNA from 1 species
AUGAACGCUGGCGGCGUGCCUAAUACAUGCAAGUCGAGCGAACAGAUGAGGAGCUUGCUCCUCUGACGUUAGCGGCGGACGGGGGAGUAACACGUGGAUAACCUACCUAUAAGACUGGGAUAACUUCGGGAAACCGGAGCUAAUACCGGAUAAUAUAUUGAACCGCAUGGUUCAAUAGUGAAAGACGGUUUUGCUGUCACUUAUAGAUGGAUCCGCGCCGCAUUAGCUAGUUGGUAAGGUAACGGCUUAGCAAGGCAACGAUGCGUAGCCGACCUGAGAGGGUGAUCGGCCACACUGGAACUGAGACACGGUCCAGACUCCUACGGGAGGCAGCAGUAGGGAAUCUUCCGCAAUGGGCGAAAGCCUGACGGAGCAACGCCGCGUGAGUGAUGAAGGUCUUCGGAUCGUAAAACUCUGUUAUUAGGGAAGAACAAAUGUGUAAGUAACUAUGCACGUCUUGACGGUACCUAAUCAGAAAGCCACGGCUAACUACGUG